AGAGUUUGAUCAUGGCUCAGAAUGAACGCUGGCGGCGUGCUUAACACAUGCAAGUCGCACGAGAACUCUUCUGCUUGCAGAAGAUAGUAAAGUGGCGCACGGGUGAGUAACGCGUGGGCAAUCUACCUCCGAAUUGGGGAUAACUCCGCGAAAGCGGGGCUAAUACCGAAUAACAUCCUGAGAACUUUGGUUUUUGGGAUCAAAGGUGGCCUCUAUAUAUAAGCUACUGUUUGGAGAUGAGCCCGCGUACCAUUAGCUUGUUGGUAGGGUAAUGGCUUACCAAGGCUACGAUGGUUAGCUGGUCUGAGAGGAUGAUCAGCCACACUGGAACUGACACACGGUCCAGACUCCUACGGGAGGCAGCAGUGAGGAAUUUUGCGCAAUGGGGGAAACCCUGACGCAGCAACGCCGCGUGAGUGAUGAAGGCUUUCGAGUCGUAAAACUCUGUCAAGUGAGAAGAAACUAUCCUGCGCUAAUACCGCGGGAUACUGACG
rnacentral:rRNA from 1 species